CAGCAACGCAAUUUACUUCUGCAGAAGCGUGCUGCUCGCAUCAAUCACGAUCGCAAGAGCACACUGAACAGAGGAAAGCAGGGGUUUUUAUUCCUAACGCAGUCCCUACCUCUGGCAUGGGCUGGGGUCAGACCGCACGAUCUAAACUGACCCGGUUGGCUAUUUGUGAAUAUUUUCCCAAAUAAGGAAGGGGGAAGGGGGAUGUGAGUUACAAUGGUGGGACUUGCGGUUUCCAAGGGAGAAAUGGGUGCAGAGCAGGUAACCAAGGGAACAGAUGUGAGUUAUUGAUUAGAACUGACGGAAGGUUGUUUACAGUAACUAAGGGCAAGGAGGCAUGGAGAACAAGAAAGUUGAGUUCGAAAACAAAAAAACAAGAAAGUUAACAUGCCAAACCUUGGAAGAGAAACUGACUGUAUCUGACAGCUUUAUACAUUUUAGGGAAACAGGAGACAUCAAUCAACAUAUGUAAGAUGAACACUGGUUUGAUCCGGGACAACCUGAAGCAAAAGCGGGUCAACUCGAAGCCAGGAGGGGGCUUCCAGGUCACAGGUAGGUGAGAGACAAACGGUUGCAUUCUUUUGAGUUUCUGAUUAGCCUUUCCAAAGGAGGCAAUAAGAUAUGCAUUCAUCUCAGUGAGCAGGGGAUGACUCUGAAUAGAAUGGGAGGCAGGUUUGCCCUAAGCAGUUCCCAGAUUGACUUUCCCCUUUAGCUUAGUGAUCUGGGGGGCUCAAAACAUUUUCCUUUCCAAUUUCCCCCUUUUCUUUUAAAAAUAUUUUGGAGAAAGCAUUUUAGAAGAAAAUCAGUCUCUGGUCCCAGGUUUUGUCCAAUCUCUCAUGGAGUAGCUGGGAUUACAGGCACUGGACACCACGCCUGCCUAAUUUUUUUUUUUUUUUUUUCGUAGAAAUGGGGUCUCCCUCAGUUGCCCAGGCUGGUCUCUGGUGCCCAACGCCGGGCUCCCGGUAAUCUCUACAAAUAAUCCAGUGAAGGAAUGCCAGAGAGUGGAAAGUGGAGGAUGACUGACAAAGGACGCCCGAGUACGUUUUCACUUCAAGCUCUACAGGAGAGAAUCAGCUUCCUGUCUGGGUACCCACAAGACAUCUUAAGCUGUGCCAUGAGACAGAGUCCAAGAAGAGGAAAAGACCUCAGAAUGUCUCUGCGCCCCCAGUUCGUCAGACGGCUCAGAUGAACAUCUCUGUUGAGCAGAUGGAAACCAGUAAAACUCCCCAAGCAACUCCACCGACCUGGGGGCAGAUGAAGAGACUGGCUCACAUUGCAGAAGAGAACCUGAGGUCUCAGAACAAGCCGCUGACCACCAGUAAUCUAAUGGUAGCUAUGAUGGCGGUAAUCUCCUUGGUGAUGCCGACGGCGCCUUGGUAGAGAAGCCAGACACAGUGAACGAAAUAGCAAUGGCGGUUAU
rnacentral:lncRNA from 1 species